CUACGGGGGGCUGCAGUGGGGAAUAUUGGACAAUGGGCGGAAGCCUGAUCCAGCCAUGCCGCGUGUGUGAAGAAGGCCUUUUGGUUGUAAAGCACUUUAAGCGAGGAGGAGGCUCCUUUAGUUAAUACCUAAAGUGAGUGGACGUUACUCGCAGAAUAAGCACCGGCUAACUCUGUGCCAGCAGCCGCGGUAAUACAGAGGGUGCGAGCGUUAAUCGGAUUUACUGGGCGUAAAGCGUGCGUAGGCGGCUUUUUAAGUCGGAUGUGAAAUCCCUGAGCUUAACUUAGGAAGUGCAUUCGAUACUGGAAAGCUAGAGUAUGGGAGAGGAUGGUAGAAUUCCAGGUGUAGCGGUGAAAUGCGUAGAGAUCUGGAGGAAUACCGAUGGCGAAGGCAGCCAUCUGGCCUAAUACUGACGCUGAGGUACGAAAGCAUGGGGAGCAAACAGGAUUAGAUACCCCGGUAGUC
rnacentral:rRNA from 1 species